GACAGCUGGGGACCCUGAGCCAUCAUGCGCGUUGGCAAGGGGACUGAGAGCGGAUAUCCCAAUGCGGUUUUGCUCAAAUAUGGGUCGAGAUGCACCAGCGUGUGGACACCUUCCUGCAAAAUCUCUUUGAGGACAACAUGCAGGUGGCUGGGCAUCACCCACUCCUGUCCCCUCCUGGCUGGGGCAAGGACGGACUCAGUGAGGAGCUGCUUGGAGCUUUCGAUACUCAGCUGGAGAACGACGACGACUCGGUGGAGUUAGCCCUGAUGAAGCUGGAGGACGGACUCAGUGAGGACCUGCUUGGAGCUUUCGAUGCUCAGCUGGAGAACGACGACUCGGUGAGUUUGAGCUGCUGUCUCAGACCCUCCCCCCUCCCCAUUGUGUUGGUGCUGCCACGUGCGGACAGAGCUCCCCUGCGUCCUGGAGCCCUGCCCUCAAUUCCAUGACGCUGCACCCAGGCGGGCCUGCUGCUGGGCUCGGAGGUCAGGUGGGCGACAGGCAGGUAUACCCCACCUUCGUGGUUUAUGACUUGGAGGGGAACUGAGCGGCCAGGCCCAGCCCCUGGGAAAAGUCCUGGGGUCUGUGGGGCUGUUGGCAGGAAAGCAGCCUGUGUCCAAGGCGGGGCAUGAGGGGGGUGUCUGCCACCAGGACUCUCCCAAAGGCAGGGCCUCAGCCAAGGUCAGGACUGGGGCUGCCUCUCCCCAGGCGGGUCCCUGAACCACCCCCCAUCCCUGCAGAAUCCAGUCCUCUGCUCAACGAAGUCCGGCAGGGAGUCCGUUCUAGAGUCCGAAGGCCUCCUGGCCACAACCAGCCACAUUAUGCGCUAGCGGUCCGGGAGCCCAGGCAGAGCACUUUCAGACGCAUCCUUGAGCUGUUUGAGGAAAUGCUGAAGCGCCUGCAGCAGAGGUGGAGGGGUGCCCUGGCUUGGGUGCAGGAAAGGGCUGCUGCCUGCUUCCGGGGCUUGUGCAGGGCCCUUGAAGCUUUCUGGAGCCUGGUGCAGAGUUUUUGCUCCUCCAUGGGGCACGCCUUCGGGAGUGUCAUCCAGGUCUAAGGUGCUCCAGCAGCUGGGGAGUUCCCGUCGUGGCGCAGUGGUUAACGAAUCCGACUAGGAACNNNNNNNNNNNNNNNNNNNNNNNNNNNNNNNNNNNNNNNNNNNNNNNNNNNNNNNNNNNNNNNNNNNNNNNNNNNNNNUGAACUGUGGUGUAGGUUGCAGACUCGGCUUGGACCUGGCAUUGCUGUGGCUCUGGUGUAGGCCAGCAGCUGUAGCUUUGAUUAGACCCUUAGCCUGGGAACUUCCAUAUACCACAAAAAAAAAAAAAAAAAAAAAAAAAAAAAAAAAAAAAAGUAGCAGCUGGGUGCCCUCUGCCCAAGCCAGCAGCCCUGCUAAUGGUGUACCCAGCAUUUCUUAUCCGUUCCGCUUCUGUCACCUCACUUGCUCAGACAGGGAGGAAUACUGUGCUGGGGGAAGGGGGAAGGUCCGGGAUGCUUACCUGGAAAGAUAAGACCUUGACAUGUGUAAAAGCUGCCGAGAACAAAGACCUGGUACUCAGACUCUGGAGGUGGCUCCUCCGAGCCUGCACCGGUGCUGAAUAAAGCUUGCCUUUCCAUA
rnacentral:lncRNA from 1 species